GACCCGUUCGUCUAGCUCGGCCUAGGACAUCGGCCUUUCACGCCGACAACAGGGGUUCAAAUCCCCUACGGGUCGC
rnacentral:tRNA from 1 species